rnacentral:rRNA from 1 species
AGAGCGAACGCUGGCGGCAGGCUUAACACAUGCAAGUCGAACGCACUCUUCGGAGUGAGUGGCAGACGGGUGAGUAACACGUGGGAACGUACCCUUCGGUUCGGAAUAACUCAGGGAAACUUGAGCUAAUACCGGAUACGCCCUUACGGGGAAAGGUUUACUGCCGAAGGAUCGGCCCGCGUCUGAUUAGCUAGUUGGUGAGGUAACGGCUCACCAAGGCGACGAUCAGUAGCUGGUCUGAGAGGAUGAUCAGCCACACUGGGACUGAGACACGGCCCAGACUCCUACGGGAGGCAGCAGUGGGGAAUAUUGGACAAUGGGCGAAAGCCUGAUCCAGCCAUGCCGCGUGAGUGAUGAAGGCCUUAGGGUUGUAAAGCUCUUUUGUCCGGGAAGAUAAUGACUGUACCGGAAGAAUAAGCCCGGCUAACUUCGUGCCAGCAGCCGC